rnacentral:rRNA from 1 species
GAUGAACGCUGGCGGCGUGCCUAAUACAUGCAAGUCGAGCGAACGGACGAGAAGCUUGCUUCUCUGAUGUUAGCGGCGGACGGGUGAGUAACACGUGGAUAACCUACCUAUAAGACUGGGAUAACUUCGGGAAACCGGAGCUAAUACCGGAUAAUAUUUUGAACCGCAUGGUUCAAAAGUGAAAGACGGUCUUGCUGUCACUUAUAGAUGGAUCCGCGCUGCAUUAGCUAGUUGGUAAGGUAACGGCUUACCAAGGCAACGAUGCAUAGCCGACCUGAGAGGGUGAUCGGCCACACUGGAACUGAGACACGGUCCAGACUCCUACGGGAGGCAGCAGUAGGGAAUCUUCCGCAAUGGGCGAAAGCCUGACGGAGCAACGCCGCGUGAGUGAUGAAGGUCUUCGGAUCGUAAAACUCUGUUAUUAGGGAAGAACAUAUGUGUAAGUAACUGUGCACAUCUUGACGGUACCUAAUCAGAAAGCCGCGGCUAACUACGUGCCAGCAGCCGCGGUAAUACGUAGGUGGCAAGCGUUAUCCGGAAUUAUUGGGCGUAAAGCGCGCGUAGGCGGUUUUUUAAGUCUGAUGUGAAAGCCCACGGCUCAACCGUGGAGGGUCAUUGGAAACUGGAAAACUUGAGUGCAGAAGAGGAAAGUGGAAUUCCAUGUGUAGCGGUGAAAUGCGCAGAGAUAUGGAGGAACACCAGUGGCGAAGGCGACUUUCUGGUCUGUAACUGACGCUGAUGUGCGAAAGCGUGGGGAUCAAACAGGAUUAGAUACCCUGGUAGUCCACGCCGUAAACGAUGAGUGCUAAGUGUUAGGGGGUUUCCGCCCCUUAGUGCUGCAGCUAACGCAUUAAGCACUCCGCCUGGGGAGUACGACCGCAAGGUUGAAACUCAAAGGAAUUGACGGGGACCCGCACAAGCGGUGGAGCAUGUGGUUUAAUUCGAAGCAACGCGAAGAACCUUACCGAAUCUUGACAUCCUUUGACAACUCUAGAGAUAGAGCCUUCCCCUUCGGGGGACAAAGUGACAGGUGGUGCAUGGUUGUCGUCAGCUCGUGUCGUGAGAUGUUGGGUUAAGUCCCGCAACGAGCGCAACCCUUAAGCUUAGUUGCCAUCAUUAAGCUGGGCACUCUAAGUUGACUGCCGGUGACAAACCGGAGGAAGGUGGGGAUGACGUCAAAUCAUCAUGCCCCUUAUGAUUUGGGCUACACACGUGCUACAAUGGACAAUACAAAGGGCAGCGAAACCGCGAGGUCAAGCAAAUCCCAUAAAGUUGUUCUCAGUUCGGAUUGUAGUCUGCAACUCGACUACAUGAAGCUGGAAUCGCUAGUAAUCGUAGAUCAGCAUGCUACGGUGAAUACGUUCCCGGGUCU